ACAUGCAUACAACAUAGUGUUAAUGCAUCGGAUCCCAUUAGAAAUCCGUAGUUAAGCGCGCUUCGGCUAGAGUAGUACUAGGAUGGGUGACCUCCCGGAAAUUCCUAGUAUUUUACAUGCC
rfam:Picea glauca, whole genome shotgun sequence.